rnacentral:rRNA from 1 species
GACGAACCGUGCGAACGUUAUUCGGAAUCACUGGGCUUAAAGGGCGCGUAGGCGGGCCCGCCAGUCAGGGGUGAAAUCCCACGGCCCAACCGUGGAAGUGCCUCUGAUACUGCGGGCCUCGAGGGAGGUAGGGGCGUGCGGAACUCAGGGUGGAGCGGUGAAAUGCGUAGAUAUCCUGAGGAACACCGGUGGCGAAAGCGGCGCGCUGGACCUCUUCUGACGCUGAGGCGCGAAAGCCAGGGGAGCAAACGGG